CUUCUCUGUACAAUAUAGAGCACUGUAGAAAACUACAGCCAAUAAAAAUGCAAAGACAUGGAUGUCAGUCAAUGGAUACAGAUUUCAGCAGAGUUGGAUAGAAAGGAUCUCCAGCCUCAUCACCAUGCCUGCCUUUAGAGUCAUCACCAAGACAAAUCAGCUUCCAAGAAGCUCCUCAGACACACAAGUCGGAAGAUGAUUGGGAAUUUUCAUAAAAGCGUAAAGGAUGCUAAGUACAAAUCCCAGAGAACCAGACAACAGAGAUCAUUGUUCUUUCUAGCUUCCUGCGAUAUCUGAAAAACUGAAUCCAAACAAAAGAACACAAGGAAAGUUGGCAUUGAAAAUUGCUAUCACGCUGAUGUGCAAGCAGAUAGAAAAACUAACAAGCAAGGAUGUCUUAGAAGUUUCCAGAACAUUGGACUUCUAUUACACAACCCUUUAGAAAAAUGAGUAAAUAUAAAUAAGCAAACAAAAAAGGUGUUUAAGGAGACCAAAUGAAUCAUUCACUAUACACUAAAUUAGAUUAUUGUAGAAAUGGUCAUUAGGAAAUCAAACUCUAAAGAUAAAUUGGUAAAUCUAUUAAAAUAUAUACA